rnacentral:rRNA from 1 species
GUGGGGAAUCUUAGACAAUGGGCGCAAGCCUGAUCUAGCCAUGCCGCGUGAGUGAUGAAGGCCCUAGGGUUGUAAAGCUCUUUCAGCUGGGAAGAUAAUGACGGUACCAGCAGAAGAAGCCCCGGCUAACUCCGUGCCAGCAGCCGCGGUAAUACGGAGGGGGCUAGCGUUGAUCGGAAUUACUGGGCGUAAAGCGCGCGUAGGCGGACUGAAAAGUUGGGGGUGAAAUCCCGGGGCUCAACCUCGGAACUGCCUUCAAAACUAUCAGUCUGGAGUUCGAGAGAGGUGAGUGGAAUUCCGAGUGUAGAGGUGAAAUUCGUAGAUAUUCGGAAGAACACCAGUGGCGAAGGCGGCUCACUGGUCUGGUACUGACGCUGAGGUGCGAAAGCGUGGGGAGCAAACAGGAUUAGAAACCCUGGUAGUCC